rnacentral:rRNA from 1 species
GACGAACGCUGGCGGCGUGCUUAACACAUGCAAGUCGAACGGAAAGGCCCUGCUUUUGUGGGGUGCUCGAGUGGCGAACGGGUGAGUAACACGUGAGUAACCUGCCCUUGACUUUGGGAUAACUUCAGGAAACUGGGGCUAAUACCGGAUAGGAGCUCCUGCUGCAUGGUGGUGGUUGGAAAGUUUCGGCGGUUGGGGAUGGACUCGCGGCUUAUCAGCUUGUUGGUGGGGUAGUGGCUUACCAAGGCUUUGACGGGUAGCCGGCCUGAGAGGGUGACCGGCCACAUGGGGACUGAGGUACGGCCCAGACUCCUACGGGAGGCAGCAGUGGGGAAUAUUGCCCAAUGGGCGGAAGCCUGAUGCAGCAACGCCGCGUGCGGGGUGACGGCCUUCGGGUUGUAAACCGCUUUCGCCUGUGACGAAGCGUGACUGACGGUAAUGGGUAAAGAAGCACCGGCUAACUACGUG